CGCGCGCCUUGUGCUCGCUGUGUAAAGUGAUUUCUUCCUCCAUUUAUCGAUUACUCGUGUUGUUCGCGUGGUUCAAUGUCGAGUGUACUUCCGAGGACAAUCCACGACCCCUGCUGUGACAACAAGUGACUGAUGUUAUGCGAGAGCGUGAGCUUUUUGACGGGCGACUGAAGAGUGCUCAGCCAAUGUCAAAACUUCGGAAGUGGUGGCCCGGACGGCUUGUUGGCACAGCGAGGCUGAAAAAGCAGAGUCCCGAUAGGCAGCAAUGGCAGCUGUUCAUGGUCCUGGCACAGAGGACAGGUUGCAGUGCACGAUUGGAGCAGUCUUCCUGCAAGCCCUAACAAGCC